rnacentral:rRNA from 1 species
UACGUAGGUGGCGAGCGUUGUCCGGAUUUACUGGGCGUAAAGGAUGCGUAGGCGGAUAUUUAAGUGAGAUGUGAAAUACCCGAGCUUAACCUGGAUGCUGCAUUUCAAACUGGAUAUCUAGAGUGUGGGAGAGGAGAAUGGAAUUCCUAGUGUAGCGGUGAAAUGCGUAGAGAUUAGGAAGAACACCAGUGGCGAAGGCGAUUCUCUGGACCAUAACUGACGCUGAGGCAUGAAAGCGUGGGUAGCAAACAGG